UGGAAAGACACAAGCUUGUCGUGCUUGACUUAGAUAAUUUGGAAAUACUACUGACGCGUGACGCUGGGAAGCUGUCAGGGGGAGCUGGUUUUACACCUAUUCUGGUCUACUGUUCUACAAUUCCUCCAUCUGUUACUACUACCACUACUUCAAAACAUCAACACCACUGACGUCAAGGAAAAAGACAAGACGAGGGGAAUCCUGUGUCCGCGUACAGUCCUUCAGUGUGGAAACCCAGUGCUUACAUACACUUGACAGUGGAACAACUUCUACAGUGAAUAACCGCCAGAGUGGAAAACCGAUGCACCAUUGGAAACCGCCGACUGCCAAUGCAUCACCGCUGCAUCAUCGCAGUGGACCACCGUCUAAAGAGUGUAUCACGUCGCUGACCAGUGAACAGCCUUCUGCUGCCAGUGACCAAGACUCAAAGACUCCACUCACACCACAACCCAACAGAGAGAAGACACUUCACCUGGGGGCCUGUAGGAUAAAGCUUGAAGAAAAGAGGGGGAAAAACAAGCUCAAGGAAAAAAACAGGCCAAAAAAAUCUUCUGCCUCCCACUUAAAAAAAGAAAGAAAAAAAAACCUGGAAAAAAGGUUCAGAAGGUUCUGCCUCCCCCUUCAUAUCCUCUCCUGACAUUUAGGAUCCUUUUAGCUGCUCUCCAUGUCUAGAAACUGUCCCGAUCAGCCGUCUUGGACUGCUGAAGUGCCUUUCGUCCAAUAGAUCUUGGACUGCUGCUACUGUGGGUGGGGGAGUUCGUGACUUGGACUGUGCGUUGUCCCUGACUGCAAUUGGGUGUUGUGCCUUCAGUCGACUUCGAGUAUGAGUACUGCAGUGAAUGUUUUCCUCUGCAUCCUAGUGACACUGUCUCUUGCUUGUAACGCAGGGUCUUUUACUGGCUUUGUUGACCACUGAUGGAACUGUGCACCGUUGUGCUUUCAGUUCAGGUCUUCGGGACUAGCCUGAUGAUGUCUGCAAUGUUCAGAGAACCUGGAUCACCAAUGUCAGUCAGUAGAGUAGAGUAGAGUAGAGUAGAGUAGAGUAGAGAAGAGUAGUAGAGGCUUGGCUUAAGUUAGUGGUUCUGGGCGGCGGAGGCAUUGUCAUGCGCAGGGCCUGUCCUGAUGCCUGGCUGGAGGUGCGGUCCGGUCCACGGUUCCUUCGGCUACCUUGGGGUGGGUGGACAACCAGGUCAGUGAAAUGCCUUGCUGCGCAGGUGGGAAGUGGUCUCGCUGUGCGGAGGAGGACAUUCACUGCAGUGCUCGUCCGGGCUCAGCGGGGGGCAAGGCACCCGGUUGCAGUCUGGGGCGGCGCGUGGGCCGGCUCCGGGCUCCACUGCCAACAGUGGCAGCAGUCCAAGAACUGUUGAACGAAGGGUGCUUCGGUCGUCUGGGAAGGCUGGUUAGGGUAGUUUCAUGGACAUGGAAACCGGCUGAGGGAUUCCUGAGUGUCGGGAGGGGAAUGGGGGCAGUGCCACAUCUGGCCUCAGAGGGGAGGUGGGACAACCAGGACCUCACAGACCCACAGACAGGGUUGGCUGCAGCAGCGUACGCAUGUACACCAGACCUCAGAAGAGAGGUGGGACAGCCAUGAUCUCCUGGAUGGACAGGAGAGAGGGGACUUCAGGGCUUCGUCGGGAGUGUAGGCAACACUGGACCACAGGAGCCAGGUGAAUCACCAGGCCCUGCAGGUGAUCGAGGGCCUAAAGGCGCACAGGGAGCCAAAGGGGUCGAAGGAGAAGAGGGACCCGCAGGACAACAGGAGAGCCAGGGGAGAGGGGAAACGGUGGAUUCCCAGGCGCUCAAGGAUCCAGUGGACAGAGGAUGUUCUACACUGGAGCUGGAAUGAACCCUGUCAGAUCCUUCGUCCUGCUACGUUCAAGAGGAACUUCAUGAACCACUGGGUAAGAAAAAUAUGUACAAAUUAUGCAUAAAAAACAUGCUCAUAGUCUCGCAUUGUUUGUAAACUACUUUCAAUUCAGAUAUAAUAGAUGUAAUAGUGUUGCAUUGUUUUGGUCUUUUAUAGAAUGCGCAAUGCACUGCAUGUAUUUCUCAGCUGUUCACAUGUAGCUAUAAUAUGGUUUCUGUUCUUCCCUCCUUGUGCCUUCGCCCGUCCGUGCGUCUGUCCGUUCGUUCGUGCCUGCGUGCGUCCGUGUCUCUGUCCAGCCGGCUGUGCGUGCGUCCGUCUCUGCAUCCGUGCCUACGUCUGGCCGGCCGUGCGUCCGUCUGUGCCCACGUCCGUGCCUCCGUCUGGCCGGCUGUGUGUCCGUCCGUGUGUCAGUCGGUCUGUGCGUCCGUGCCUACGUCUGGCUGGCCGUGCGUCCGUCUGUGCCCACGUCCGUGCCACCGUCUGGCCGGCCGUGCGUCCGUCUGUGCGUCCGUGCCUACGUUUGGCCGGACGUGCUUCCGUCUGUGCGUCCGUUCCUACGUUUGGCCGGAGGUGCAUCCGUCUGUGCCCACGUCCGUGCCUCCGUCUGGCCGGCUGUGCGUGCGUGCGUCCGUCCAUCCGUGCGUCUGUCCGUCCGUCCGUGCGUCAGUCCGUCUGUGCGUCCGUGUCUACGUCUGGCCGGACGUGCGUCCGUCUGUGCUUCCAUCUGUCCGUGCCUCCGGCCGGCCAGCUGUGCGUCCGUGUUAGCAUGCCCACGUCCGUGUGUGCAUGCCUGCGUCUGUCUGUCCUUUCGUCCGUCCGUCUGUCUGUGCGUCAGUC